GUAGUGCAGCUGAUAUUGAUAUUGGAGUCAGUCCAAAUGUGAUGGUGCUGCGCAGCUGAUUGACAUUGACUUCAUUCGUGCUGCGCAGCUGAUUGACAUUGACAUCACUCAAUCGGCAUGUAGCACCGCCUUUUUAAAGCCUGAUUGGUUGUCCCUUGGGAUGCGUCACGUCCGACUCUGACGCACUUUGUUUGGGUGUCCGUCUUCGCAGCUACAGGUAGAGGCAUUGUGUUCGUUCUGAUAAUUUUUCAUUUGCUUGAAUGGGCCAACGUUAAGUUACUUUUGGCAUUGUUAUAGUGCAUUGUGGCUGUGGCAUUUUUCUGGGCUGGAGUGGCUGGACGACUGUUCAUUGUUGCAGGUAUGUGAUAGUUUUUAAUUGGCUGAGUAAUGGGAUUUGGCAGUAUUUAACCUGCGUUUUUCAUGCAGUAGAGAUACUAAGUCCUGCACCUCGCUGUAUUUGUAUACCUGACCAACAAGUGCUCAAAGCAUCCGCUUUGUGCACCCAUUGGAUUCUCCCUUGUUCUCUCUUGAUCCCUUUUCUCUCAAUGUCUAAAUCACUUUAUUAGCCCUUGUUUCUCGCUAUUGCCGUGGUUAUUGGAGGUCGUCUGGGCGUGUGCUACUGCUGUUAUUCCACGCUGCUAAUACUAACGCCGGUGUCAUUGGCUAUCGUACAGACGCCACCAACACAGCUGUUUAAAGGGGACUGCCCAUUUUGACCCGUGUGCUGCUUUGUGCUCCCCUUCAUUUAUUUGUUUGUUUAGGAUGUAUUGAUUUGCGUUAACAUUUUUGGUGCUCUGCUUUUUGUUUAGUGAAAUUGUUUUUCGUUUAGUUAUGCAGAGCAUUUAUUUGGUUUUUGUUAUUUAGAUUUCUUAUUAUUAUUAUUAUUAUUAUUAUUAUUAUUAUUUUGAGAGUCAAUUGUUUUGAUUCAGAGUGUGUGUGUGUAUAUGAGAUGUUGUAAUCACAGCUGUAGCUGUCUCAACCAGAUCAUAGAGUAGGUUUGUUAACCUGAUUGACUCCUUUAUUGAUGUUAGUUAUUUUCUGUUUAUUUACUUUAAUUUUGAUUUAUUUCAGGAAUUGAGGUUUCUCCUCGGUGGAUGACUGGUCCUUCCAACUGGUGGUGGUGCUUCUUUCCCGUGUGCUGUGAGACACUGAGUGCUUGAUAGUGUAAUUCGAGUGCACUGUGGUGUGCGUGUGCUGGGGUAAAGUCAGUCUGCUUGUAUCCAGUCAGUGGGAACCUCAAUCCUGUGUGUUUUUGAUUUUUGUUUAUUUAUUUUUCCUUUUAUGAAGGGGGAGUUUUUGAUGUGCUUUUUAACAAAUGAGUACAACCUUACAUUUUCAUUAAAAUAAAUAUUUUUGUACUUUUUGUAAUUA